rnacentral:rRNA from 1 species
UAGGGAAUCUUCGGCAAUGGGGGGAACCCUGACCGAGCAACGCCGCGUGAGUGAAGAAGGUUUUCGGCUCGUAAAGCUCUGUUGUUAAGGAAGAACGAGUGUGAGAAUGGAAAGUUCAUGCUGUGACGGUACUUAACCAGAAAGGGACGGCUAACUACGUGCCAGCAGCCGCGGUAAUACGUAGGUCCCGAGCGUUGUCCGGAUUUAUUGGGCGUAAAGCGAGCGCAGGCGGUUAGAAAAGUCUGAAGUGAAAGGCAGUGGCUCAACCAUUGUAGGCUUUGGAAACAGUUUAACUUGAGUGCAGAAGGGGAGAGUGGAAUUCCAGGUGUAGCGGUGAAGGGCGUAGAUAUAUGGGGGAACGCCGGAGGCGAUAGCGGGUCUCUGGUCUGUAACUGACGCUGAGGCUCGAAAGCGUGGGGAGCGAACAGG